GAGGGUACAGCUCAAGUGGUAGAGCCCAUGCUUAGCCUGCACGAGGUCCUGGGUUCAAUCCCCAGUACCUCCU
rnacentral:tRNA from 1 species